UCCCAUGCCUUGGGCACAGCCCAUAUUUAGCUGAUUGUUCAUGAACUGUCCCAGCACUGUGCCCCAGAAAGCUCUGUGCCCUCCUCACCCUCCUCUUUGCACUAAGUGGUAAUUUAUAGCCUAGACACCAGCCAAUCAAUACCCUCCACAGAUUUCCAUCUGUCUUUGCUUUGCUAUGCUCCCAUCUUCCCUUUGCUUUGGGCAAUAAGGAAACCAGUAGACUGCAUGUUCUGAUGUUCCUCGAUCCGAGGUCUGAGUAACUUUUAUAGGAUUGUAGAGAUGGGGAGCAGAGAAUUGUGUUUUUUGGGGCAAACAAGAAAUCCAAGUCAGAUCUGAAUCCUAAAUGAUGUCUUCUAGAAUAAGCUGUAGCUCCCAUCUCAGAAUCAGAGGAUAUUUGGUGGUCUCUGAAGAAAUGCUUCAUCUCUGUGAAAGUGGGACACUGAAGGCACAAUUGACAACAGCACCAAAAAAUAUUUCAACCAUUUCGUCACUACAGCUUCAAGAACUGAACAGUGUUUAAAGGAGCCAGAUGAAUUAGAAGACGAUAAAAGUAAACUCGCUUUCCCUGAAACAGGUGAUGGUGUGAAAGAGGUUAUCUCCUGCUGUCAUUAUGAAGAGGGGCAAUAUCUCACUGCAAAACAGGUGAUGAAGGUAGCGAUUGUCCCUGGUGCAAGAGCAAAGCAAAGGCGUGUGUGUUUGCAGAGCGGUGUUAAGGCACAGACACCACUCUGACAGGUGCGGUGCGAACGCGACACAGACUUGGAAACAAAAGUGAGACAUUGGAGGGAAGUGAAAAUGGAAAACUUUCCAGAUGCCAGGUGGAAAAUGAUAUUAAAGCUGUCAAAAUAAGUCACAACAAAGACUGGGUUUUCUCAUAGACUAACAGGAGUCAUGUUCUGCAGAAGAAUGGAGUUCUCAACCACAAGACAGAGUAUCACAAAUGAAACAAUUACGAGCAUUGGAGGUUAAACUGAGGCCUAUUUGUUUCAGGGUUUUUUUUUGCUUUCGUCUCCCUCUUUUUUUUCCUUUUUAUUUUUUUCCUUUUCUCUUCCAAAGGCACUAUGGCAGUUUUGAUUUACUCUGCAUUUUGUGGACAGGUCAAGAAUGUGUAAAUAAAUCACACCGUCAUUUCUUAUCGUAGUUAUCUAUUCUGGGCCUAAUUCCAAACCCAGUUAAAUUGAUGGCAAUCCUUCCAUUGGCAUCAGAGCACUGUAAUUUAGAACCUGUGAUAGAGGUGCAAAGCAUCAUGGUAGAGGCUUGUUAAACAGCCUCUGCAGUCAUCCAAAGUGAUUUUCUAAAAUACAGUAAGGAAAAGGAACUUAGAACUACCUUCAAGGUCAAAUAUGCUUUAUGUACAUGCUAAUGGAGCAUUUAAAAAAGCUCCACCUAACAAGCAUUAAAUGUCCUAAAUAUUAUAAAAGGGGUUAUUCAGAUUUAAGACUGACAAUCUGAACAGAUAACCCAGUAUUUUACUCUUUUCAAAAAUCAGCCGCACUGUUUAUACUUGUGUAGAAAACCACAGACCAGAACAAAGUUCACUGUGUUUCCUUAGUGCAGUCAAGGGUAGAAUUUACUCUGCUGAUUGAGGAUUUCAGUUGUCCAUGUAUUCAUUUUCAUGCACUGGUAGAUUCUUAUCAGCAAUUUAUCUGCAAUUUUGUGGCCGAAUUUUGUUCCUUUAUGCAACAUUAGCACAAGAAAAUGUGCCUACAUUAAAUUCCUUGUAUUCCUUAUAAACUACUCCUAACAAACAAUAAUUCAUACUGAAUGUUUACCCCCCAAAGUAUAAUUAUGACUUUAAAAAUAAAAUGGCUCUCCGUUCUUUUCAUGAUAGAUUUUUCAGGCAGACUGUUGAUGUGUUAGAAAGAACCAGACUCCCAGAGGAGUGGGUAGAAGCUUGAUUGCAGCUAGAGAUAGACAAUGCAGCAGCAGUGGUAACUGGAGACUGUACACACAACAGGCCAUAAUGGCCAUUAUGGAGCUGUUAACCUCUAGUGUGUCAAAACCUAAUCAGAAACUGGUUGAAUUUGCAGCUUGCUGAUCCAAGUGAUUCCUUUAAAUUCAACAAAAAAAAAAAAAUGAACUGAAGGGCUAUUCUGUGUUUGAGUUAUAAACCCUUUAAAAUAUCAGUUAAUAAUGGAAAUAAUGACAGACCUCUAGUGUAGCUGCACGGAUGGUGCUGGUAUUAAUAAUGCAGAAGUGCAAGGCAGGACAGCUCUUGGAAGCUGAUGACUGUUGAAGUGCAGAAAACCUCAUUAAAAUGACCUAAAGAGGAGUGUAUUAUUAUAAUAACUUUUUUCCUACAGUACCCUUCAACUAUAAUAAUUGCACAAUAUAUGUAGCAACUUGAAAAGAUUCAGAAAUGUGUAAGAAGUAAAGUCUCUGGCCACAGUUACUGGCAGCAUAAUUAUAAGAAUAUAUUAUUUACUCUGCAUCGUGUUCUUUAGUUUUGAGAGCCCAGAGAUUCGUGGAUGAUGAAUAAUGUGGUGUCUAACUAAAAUAUCAGCCCUACAUUGCUGGAACACAUAUUCAACCUCAAAUAAUUGCUUUGGAAUUUUGUUGAUUUCAAGUAGCAGAAUAGUUAUGACUAACUUGCUGAUGUUAAAUGUAAAAAAUUUGAUAUUAUUUUUGCAUUUAAGAUUCUGCAGUGGAUAGGAGUAGUUGUUGUCAAGGAUAUUUAUGGGAUUUUCAGUUGCUCUCUCUGAGGAUAAGGUCCAAUGAUCUAAAAUCAUGCUUUUUCAAGAUGUGAAGAGUUUAAUUUUUCAUUCUUACAACUAAUUACAGUGGACCCACUAAUGUACUUUUCACAGCUACAUCCUUUGCAGGAAUCAGACUCACCGGCUUCUCCAAUGGUGCUAUAUAGCCCUGCUAUCCCAGGUUCGCUCAGCACCGUGCGAGGCCUUAGGGCUGCGGGGAAACCACGGACGGCAGCACAGAAGAGCGUGGUGGGGCCGGGCAAAGCCGAGCGAAGGAGCGCAGCGGUGG